CUUUGGGGAUUGGGUGGAAACAGGGGGAGAGUCAGUGGGAUUUUGAAGGACACUUCUGCUGUGGCUUCUGUUCCUUAGCACAGUUUGUCUGGCAUUGGGUUUUCUGGUAAUAAGAGCUGUAUUUCUUCUUAAGCUUUGCCAGUGAGAACAGCAGAUUGGAAGGCACUGUCCAGCAGCCAAGCGAGAGCGUUGAAGCCCUUCCGAGAGCCCUGCAAGCCUCUGCCUCAGGUGGUGAACUUUCCCAGCAGCUGGACAUGGAGCCUGGAACAGGCAUGCAGCUCGAGGCCCCAAACCAGGCUUUGCAAGAAGAGCUGUCCACUCUGCUUGGGAAGUGUGAACAACUGGAGAAGAGCAAAUGUCAGCUGCAAGAAGAGAUGACAAAACUCCACCAUCAUUUGGAGACUUUGGUGCUGGAUUGCAGCCAAAGAGAACAGUGUACAGGAGAGGUGGCAGAAGGAGCUGACCAGGAAAGAAGUCCAAAGCUACAAGAGGUCAGCCUCGUUUUGCAAGCACAGGCAGCCCACCAGGCCCCACUAGGACGAACCAGAGACAGUCAUUGUGAAUCCGUGAGAAUUCAGUUGGAAGAAAGGAUUAGAGAUCUGGAAAGGGAAUUGGAGAGGGUCAAAAACACCCAACAAGAGAGAGCUUCUCGUAAAGAAGCAACGCAGGUAGA